AGCUCACCACCGCCCGCCACUUCCCCCGUGGGGAAUGCGCGUCUGCCUGGAUCCAUCGACGCUUGCUUGCUUGCUUCCGUUCCGUGGGAGGGACGGGGACGGACAGCAGCCGAGGCAGAGAAGAAACCCAAGGCUCUCGAAUUGUACAUAGGCAAAAUGAGUAAAGCGGCCACCCCCCCAAAAAAAGGCUAGGAGAUUAGAUCCCUCUUGUGCAUAGGUAGAUUCCGUCUUCCAAGUUUGUGGAGUUGUGAAUCUUUGCGCGGAUUAAAUUUUUGUCGAUGAGCUAGGCGUGUCGAUGCAUGAUUUGGGCCCGCUUUUUGUCCUGCCAGUGCCACUGCCAGCCAUGCUUUCUGGCUGCUCGCUCAGGUCAGUCAGGUCACCCAGGGCAGCUGCUCGGGUUCGGUACAUCCGUGGACCGGUGGACGGCUCCGUUCCUCUGCACGGUUUCCGUCUCGCAAGGACACACCCAACCCAAGCACGCGAACUUUUUCCAACCUGUGCAGUGUGCCACAAAAUAUUUCUGCUGCUUCAACGGGAAAGCGCCAAGGCUCCAGAUGUUCCGUGGAUCCGGUGGUGCGGCCACCCAUUGCUGUAACAGCUGUCCACACACAGGAGAAUUUCGGGCCAACCUGGUGCUGUGUUGUCCAACACACAGGAUUUGAAUUGAAUUGGCAACCAAUCUCUCUCGCAACUCUAGAGUCUAGAGCAUCAACCAACAGUGGCAAAUGCUAAUCAGACAGCCGGGGGUGCGACCAAAUGCGCCGAGUCCCUCCGUUCCUUUCCACGGUCCAAUCAUCCGUGUCAACCAUCACUGACGGUCUUCAGACUCCAGGAAGUUUCAGAUCCAGAGAUGAGACACCCGACGCCGAACCAUGAUAUGUUGUUUGUGCGCGCUUGUGUUUUGGUAAAGGAAGCAAGAAGAACCAUGAUCUGAAACAUAAUCUGCAGCAGAAAAAGUAGGUCAGAUUGUUCAGUCUCGCUCUGAAAGCCAGAGAGCGCUCUUGACAGGUGUAGUAGUCUUCUACCUGCAACGCAUCUCCAGUUCCGCCACUCGGCCACCCCUGGUUCUCGCGCACCGAAAGAGAGGAGUAUCAGCAAAAGGGUGUGUACGUUAAGCAACGGCGCCUUUUCUUGGUUAGGAGCGCUUUACAUCUUGAGAGCUUUCCCUGUAUACAUGGAAUCCUACUUUUAACUCACAGCUAGUUUUGCUUGCAAGUAAACCAAGGAAACAAAAGUCGUCACGCUAAACUUGUCGGAGGACAAGAAAGUGAGAAAUGUGGGGGUCAUUCAGCCAGCGUCCAAAGAAAAAGGAAAAAAAAAGAGAGGAUGUGGGGUCAUUUAUCCAUGCACUGAAUGGAACCAAAACCGAACUCGACGUUUGUAAUCGAUGGGGAAUAAUGGCACAUCAAGCCCCGCCGGGAGGGCCGGGACCACGGGCUCACUCAUUAUCGUACACGCACACGCUGGGGGCCGGGCCUGGGGCUGGGCCUGGGCCCCGGCCAGCCAGCCAGCCAGCUCUCGUCGCGGCCGCCGCGUAAACGGCUGGCCGUCGCGGCCGCCGCCGCAUCAUCACGACUCAGGCACCGCUGGACACGUCUGCCUGUCUGUCUGUGGCUGCCUUCGAUUGCAAACGCCUAGCAGAGUAGCAGUACGCAGCGCAGCUAAACAAUGGCUCCGGUCCGACUCCGACCUACGGUGGUGGAAAGUUUCUUACGCUAGCUCGAUCGUACCCCCAUUAUUGCCUGUCGGUUUCGCGCCUAAAGCGAAAACGAUAACGACGUCGGCGAAAGCUAGUAUUAUCCUGGAAUGUGGCAACUGGCUAGUUUGAGAGAAAGGCAAGCAUAAUUCUGACCCUUUUUUUUUUUGCGCUAAUGAUACGAACAAGGAUCGUAUUCUGGAAAACGGUAGUGGGGGAAAAAGGAGAGAGGCUAGCACUCAUCAGUAAAGCAAUACCCGUACCUGUAGUAGCUUCACUUCACUGGACGAUCCGUCGUUUUCGCCGUCUGUUCGCCCGUUCAUUGACGGCCCCGCGAUGCCAAAAGGCCAAGCCAACGCUCCAGGCUACAGCGGAUAAGAAUGAGCCGAGCCGAUGCCGCAGAUCGAUCCACCUCGCCCAGCCUCACACACCACCGUCCGCAUCGGUCUCACUAUGGGACACUCCGGCAUUAAAAAAAAGUGGAAUCAGACGUAAAAUUUACUGUACAACAGUUUUACUAUUGGAUCCGAAAUUCAG
rnacentral:lncRNA from 1 species